rnacentral:rRNA from 1 species
GUCCUAGCCGUAACAAUGAGCACUGGGUUGGAGGCUCCUCCAUAGGCUUCCGGCCGCAGCGAAGCGUUUAGUGCUCCGCCUGGGGAGUAUGGUCGCAAGGCUGAACUCAAGGAAUUGACGGGGCUCACACAAGCGGUGGAGGAUGUGGCUUAAUUCGAGGCUACGCGAAGAACCUUAUCCUAGUCUUGACAUGCUUGGAUUAACCCCAUGAAAGUGGGCCACGCCUUCGGGUGGAACAAGCACAGGUGCUGCAUGGCUGUCGU